CGGGUCCACUAGUUACGGCCGCCAGUGUGAUGGAAUUCGGCUUACGGCUCAGUAACACGUAGUCAACAUGCCCAGGGGACGUGGAUAACCUCGGGAAACUGAGGAUAAACCGCGAUAGGCCAUAAUGUCUGGAAUUGAUUUAUGGCUCAAAUCUAUAUGGCCCCUGGAUUGGACUGCGGCCGAUCAGGCUGUUGGUGAGGUAAUGGCCCACCAAACCUAAAACCGGUACGGGCUCUGAGAGGAGAAGCCCGGAGAUGGGCACUGAGACAAGGGCCCAGGCCCUAUGGGGCGCAGCAGGCGCGAAACCUCUGCAAUAAGCGAAAGCUUGACAGGGUUAUUCUGAGUGAUUUCCGCUAAGGAAGUCUUUUGGCACCUCUAAAAAUGGUGCAGAAUAAGGGGUGGGCAAGCCUGGUGUCAGCCGCCGCGGUAAUACCAGCACCCCGAGUGGUCGGGACGAUUAUUGGGCCUAAAGCAUCCGUAGCCGGUUCUACAAGUCUUCCGUUAAAUCCACCUGCUUAACAGAUGGGCUGCAGAGGAUACUAUAGAGCUAGGAGGCGGGAGAGGCAAGCGGUACUUAGUGGGUAGGGGUAAAAUCCGUUGAUCCACUGAAGACCACCAGUGGCGAAGGCGGCUUGCCAGAACGCGCUCGACGGUGAGGGAUGAAAGCUGGGGGAGCAAACCGGAUUAGAUACCCGGGUAGUCCCAGCUGUAAACGAUGCAGACUCGGUGAUGAAUAGGCUUCGUGCCUAUUCAGUGCCGCAGGGAAGCCGUUAAGUCUGCCGCCUGGGGAGUACGGUCGCAAGGGAUGAACUUAAA
rnacentral:rRNA from 1 species